rnacentral:rRNA from 1 species
UACGUAGGGUGCGAGCGUUGUCCGGAAUUAUUGGGCGUAAAGAGCUUGUAGGCGGUCUGUCGCGUCUGCUGUGAAAAUCCGGGGCUCAACCCCGGACUUGCAGUGGGUACGGGCAGACUAGAGUGUGGUAGGGGAGACUGGAAUUCCUGGUGUAGCGGUGAAAUGCGCAGAUAUCAGGAGGAACACCAGUAGCGAAGGCGGCUCGCUGGGCCAUUCCUGACGCUGAGACGCGAAAGCUAGGGGAGCGAACAGG